GAAGUUCGAAUUGGACGUCAGGAUGAACGCUGGCGGCGUGCUUAACACAUGCAAGUCGAACGGAGCUUAUAAUGGGAAGCUUGCUUCCGCCUUAAGCUUAGUGGCGGACGGGUGAGUAACGCGUGAGCAACCUGCCCUCGAGUGGGGAAUAACAUCGAGAAAUCGGUGCUAAUACCGCAUAAUAUGGAGAGACCGCAUGAUCUUUCCAUCAAAGGAUUUAUUUGCUUGAGGAUGGGCUCGCGUCCGAUUAGGUAGUUGGUGAGGUAACGGCCCACCAAGCCUGCGAUCGGUAGCCGAACUGAGAGGUUGAUCGGCCACAUUGGGACUGAGACACGGCCCAGACUCCUACGGGAGGCAGCAGUGGGGAAUAUUGGGCAAUGGGCGAAAAAGCCUGACCCAGCAACGCCGCGUGAAGGAUGAAGGUCUUCGGAUUGUAAACUUCUUUGAUCGGGGAAGAAAUAAAUGACCUACCCGAAGAACAAGCCACGGCUAACUACGUGCCAGCCGCCGC
rnacentral:rRNA from 1 species